rnacentral:antisense_RNA from 1 species
GCAGCAGGUGGCGGCGGUGCAUGGGGCCUGGCCCCACCAGCGGGCACUGGCCCAGAGCCACGGCCGGGGGGCCAUCUAGCUGGAGAGAGAAGGGACAGGUGUCUAUACACGCCCCGCGGAGCAGACGGUCCACCUCCUCCCGGUCCUCCGGGGAAGGGGACACAUGAGGGACUCGCCUGUGGCUCCCUCUGCCUGCAGCAACUCCAUCCGCUCCUGCAACUGCCGGACGUGUGCCUCUAGGUCCCGGUUCCGAGCCUCUGCCUCGCGUAGUUGACUGUGGGGAGGAACAAAUCAUGAUUCCCACCUGCCUUUGCCCUUGAGGCUCUCGCCUGACCACCUGGUACCUUUCCUUCCGUGGCUGGUUUCUCCUUCACGAGCACUCAGCUCAAAGAUCAACUCCUCAGAUCCCCAGCCACACACACACCCUUACUUAAUGCCCCACUGUAACUACAGAGACCGUCUCAUGUCUGAAGUAA